rnacentral:rRNA from 1 species
AGCGAACGCUGGCGGCGUGCCUAACACAUGCAAGUCGAACGUGAAAGGGAGCAAUCCCAAGUAAAGUGGCGUACGGGUGAGUACACGUAGGUAAUCUACCCCAGAAUCUGGAAUAACCGGCCGAAAAGCUGGCUAAUACUGGAUAGGGCGACGGAAUCCGGAAUUUGGUUUUUCGGGAAAAGGAGCCUGUAAAAAGGCCUUCGGUCUGGGAUUAGCCUGCGUCCCAUCAGCUAGUUGGUGAGGUAAAAGCUUACCAAGGCAAGGACGGGUAGCUGGUCUGAGAGGACGAUCAGCCACACUGGAACUGAAACACGGUCCAGACUCCUACGGGAGGCAGCAGUGGGGAAUCUUGCGCAAUGGACGAAAGUCUGACGCAGCAACGCCGCGUGAGUGAAGAAGGCCUUCGGGUUGUAAAGCUCUGUCGAGUGGGACGAAAAUGCUUGGAGUUCACAGCUCCAGGAACUGACGGUACCACUAAAGGAAGCACCGGCUAACUCCGUG